rnacentral:sRNA from 1 species
UCAUGAACAACGCAAAAACACAACCUUCCUGCAAAAGCGUUCCUACGAGGUAGCUUUACAGUGCCCAUGAUGUACGGAAAUCGUCUAUUGGAAUGGAGAUCAACAACAAUGGCCGAUCUUGGGUGCAGUGCUAGUCACCUUCUUGGGCAUGACUAGGAUUGCAAUGAUUGACCACACAU